GAUGAACGCUAGCUACAGGCUUAACACAUGCAAGUCGAGGGGCAGCAUGACGAGAGCUUGCUCUUGUUGAUGGCGACCGGCGGAAGGGUGCGUAACGCGUGAGCAACAUGCCCGUGGCAGGGGGAUAAGCGAUGGAAACGUCGUCUAAGACCCCGUAACAACAGAGUUCGCAUGGACUUUGUUUGAAAGCUUCGGCGGCCACGGAUUGGCUCGCGUCCCAUUAGGCAGUUGGCGGGGUAACGGCCCACCAAACCGACGAUGGGUAGGGGUUCUGAGAGGAAGGUCCCCCACAAUGGAACUGAGACACGGUCCAUACUCC
rnacentral:rRNA from 1 species